rnacentral:lncRNA from 1 species
ACUGAUCAGUGGCGCAGACCGAAGUGCGCUGUCUGAGCCGAUCAUAGCGGUCUGAAAUUCGGAUUUGGGAAACCCGAGCUACAGUGUACUGUACCCGAGCUUACAGCAAGAUUCACCGUACGUCUCUGGUGUAAGCUCUCUUUCCUCACGAAGUUCAGGACCCUUUGUGCGUGCAUCUUGAAGCGCGAGCGUGAAACUGCAGCGCAAAAUGCAGCAGGGGCAGGCUCUUUUCGCGCCUAUCGUUGCGAUCUAGGAGUUGUUACCAAAAGUUGUGACGGAUACUCGGCGUUGCGCCGUAGAAGUGUGCAGCCUCCUGGGCUGUGAGCUGCACCCUUUUACUGCAGAAGAGGCGCCCGAGCGUGCGCGGUUGUCCCAGCGGCGAGCGAAGCGGAUGGACACCUCCGUCGAGUGAACAGAGCUUCGUGCUGCACUUCGACUUGUGGUUCCAGUGCGCGCAUGAGGACGGCUCCUGGGUGCAUGUGACCGGUGAACGGACGCUCAAACCGGGCGCCGUGCCUACCUGUUAACCGCGGCGGGGAGACGCUUCAGGUGUGUUUGGUCCAUUUUGUUGAUGGACGUCCCACGAAAAAUAACCCAUACCCAACACUGCACCUUGGAACACUGACUAUCCAUCGCAAAGGAAGAAGGCAGUUAAAACGCCCUGCAGCCUGCAUGCAAGAAGCUGAGACAACGGUCACCGUAUGCCCAGCGACAGCUGACAGCACUGCACAGCAGACAGCAAUGGACGAGCAAGAUGAAGGAAACAGUGAACCCUGCUACAUUUACAGUUACAUACAAAAUAGGCUGACAGAGGCAGAGGAAAGACCAAAGAGCUGCUCGGUUUGCGGCUGCAAAUGCCAGUUUCUGGUGACAUCGGACAAGGCAGUUCAAGCCACGGCACAAGUAUCUGAACACACAUGCAGCAAACAUCCAGAACACUCUUCUAUGGAAGCAGACAGGGCUUGUCAAACA